GCAGUGGGGAAUAUUGCACAAUGGGCGCAAGCCUGAUGCAGCAACGCCGCGUGAAGGAAGACGGUUUUCGGAUUGUAAACUUCUGUUCUUAGUGAAGAAUAAUGACGGUAGCUAAGGAGCAAGCCACGGCUAACUACGUGCCAGCAGCCGCGGUAAUACGUAGGUGGCAAGCGUUGUCCGGAAUUACUGGGUGUAAAGGGAGCGCAGGCGGGUGAUCAAGUCAGCUGUGAAAACUACGGGCUUAACCCGUAGACUGCAGUUGAAACUGUUCAUCUUGAGUGAAGUGCAGAGGUUGGCGGAAUUCCGAGUGUAGCGGUGAAAUGCGUAGAUAUUCGGAGGAACACCGGUGGCGAAGGCGGCCAACUGGGCUUUAACUGACGCUGAGGCUCGAAAGUGUGGGGAGCAAACAGGAUUAGAUACCCUGGUAGUCCACACUGUAAACGAUGAUUGCUAGGUGUGGGGGGUCUGACCCCUUCCGUGCCGGAGCUAACGCAAUAAGCAAUCCACCUGGGGAGUACGACCGCAAGGUUGAAACUCAAAGGAAUUGACGGGGACCCGCACAAGCAGUGGAUUAUGUGGUUUAAUUCGAAGCAACGCGAAGAACCUUACCAGCACUUGACAUCCAACUAACGAAAUAGAGAUAUAUUAGGUGCCUUUCGGGGAAAGUUGAGACAGGUGGUGCAUGGUUGUCGUCAGCUCGUGUCGUGAGAUGUUGGGUUAAGUCCCGCAACGAGCGCAACCCUCGCCAUUAGUUGCUACGCAAGAGCACUCUAAUGGGACCGCUACCGACAAGGUGGAGGAAGGUGGGGACGACGUCAAAUCAUCAUGCCCCUUAUGUGCUGGGCUACACACGUAAUACAAUGGCCAUCAACAGAGAGAAGCAAUACCGCGAGGUGGAGCAAAACUUCAAAAAUGGUCUCAGUUCGGACUGCAGGCUGCAACCCGCCUGCACGAAGUUGGAAUUGCUAGUAAUCGUGGAUCAGCAUGCCACGGUGAAUACGUUCCCGGGUCUUGUACACACCGCCCGUCACACCAUGGGAGCCGGUAACACCCGAAGUCAGUAGUCUAACCGCAAGGAGGACGCUGCCGAAGGUGGGAUUGGCGACUGGGGUGAAGUCGUAACAAGGUAGCCGUAUCGGAAGGUGCGGCUG
rnacentral:rRNA from 1 species